UGCUUGCACCUUUCAAGCGAGUGGCGAACGGGUGAGUAACACGUGGAUAACCUGCCUCAAGGCUGGGGAUAACAUUUGGAAACAGAUGCUAAUACCGAAUAAAACUUAGUAUCGCAUGAUAUCAAGUUAAAAGGCGCUACGGCGUCACCUAGAGAUGGAUCCGCGGUGCAUUAGUUAGUUGGUGGGGUAAAGGCUUACCAAGACGAUGAUGCAUAGCCGAGUUGAGAGACUGAUCGGCCACAUUGGGACUGAGACACGGCCCAAACUCCUACGGGAGGCUGCAGUAGGGAAUCUUCCACAAUGGGCGCAAGCCUGAUGGAGCAACGCCGCGUGUGUGAUGAAGGCUUUCGGGUCGUAAAGCACUGUUGUAUGGGAAGAAAUGCUAAAAUAGGGAAUGAUUUUAGUUUGACGGUACCAUACCAGAAAGGGACGGCUAAAUACGUGCCAGCAGCCGCGGUAAUACGUAUGUCCCGAGCGUUAUCCGGAUUUAUUGGGCGUAAAGCGAGCGCAGACGGUUGAUUAAGUCUGAUGUGAAAGCCCGGAGCUCAACUCCGGAAUGGCAUUGGAAACUGGUUAACUUGAGUGUUGUAGAGGUAAGUGGAACUCCAUGGGUAA
rnacentral:rRNA from 1 species